AGCAGCGUUGACUUACAGCAGGUACAAAGGAUUCCCUAGACGACAGCGAGGUGAUGUCGUUGAAUCUUCGUAGAGUUUUUGUUUCCACACAGUACUGUCUCUCUCCUCGCGCCCUCCCCCUACCCAGCUGGUGUGCUGUCUCAGUGCUCAGGGACGCUUCCGCCAUGCUUGUGGUACGGUAGUGCCGUUAGGGACUUGUUUGGAAUCCGGGCAGCAGGUAAAGUUAUACGAGCAGUAGGACAUAGCUGAAGGCGAGAACAGAGAAAGAAGUCUGAACCUGUGACCUUAUGGAUUAGAAGCAGAUUUUGCUGCCUGCUAUUUCAGUUUGACAUGAGGGGACUGGAAUGAAAAAUGGAAGGGAGAACUGCGAGCAUAGUCACCAUGUAGAGUCCUGCCUUGUAGAAAUCAUGACAAAAGAAAAAAAAGCUGAACAAAUAUAUGCUGGAACUCUUCUGAAGAAGGAACUCAUAAUCGUAGUGUGCUGAUGUGACUGAAUUUUGCAAACCUCUCUCCCACAAAUAUUCAUAGCAGAAAUCAAAACCACAGUUGAAGCUGACAUUGAAAAUAUGCUGAUGUACAGCUUUGCUUAUGGAAGAGCCUUCUAGAAGAAGAAUUUGGUAAUGGAGUUUUGCAGGAAAUUUGUGCGUCUUAGUUCAUGAGAUUCCUGCGGUGGGUUAAUUGCAUAAAGAACUGUUGUCAGUCAUCUUUUUAUCAGUUGGCAAUAUUUUCCUGCAGCAGUCUUCAUUGGGACCACUUACUAAUCUGAAAAGAGCUGAACUGUCUGCAGAACUUUUUUUCCUGGCGGAAAAACAUCCAUUUCAGAGUAUUUGCAUCAAACAACAGGACUCAUCGCCCUUGUUUAGGAAUUAUCAGGACUGGAGUGUUUCACCUUUCAUUAAUACUGGAACGUUGGAA